UGCUGCCUCAACCAUCCUAGCUACA
rnacentral:piRNA from 1 species